GGGGUUAUAGCUCAGUAGAGCGUGUGCUUAGAACAUGAGAAGUCCUGGGUUCAAUCCCCAGCAUCUCCA
rnacentral:tRNA from 1 species